rnacentral:rRNA from 1 species
CAUGCAAGUCGAACGGUAACAGGUCUUCGGACGCUGACGAGUGGCGAACGGGUGAGUAAUACAUCGGAACGUGCCCGAUCGAGGGGGAUAACGGAGCGAAAGCUUUGCUAAUACCGCAUAAGAUCUGAGGAUGAAAGCAGGGGACCGCAAGGCCUUGCGCGAACGGAGCGGCCGAUGGCAGAUUAGGUAGUUGGUGGGGUAAAGGCCUACCAAGCCGACGAUCUGUAGCUGGUCUGAGAGGACGACCAGCCACACUGGGACUGAGACACGGCCCAGACUCCUACGGGAGGCAGCAGUGGGGAAUUUUGGACAAUGGGCGCAAGCCUGAUCCAGCCAUGCCGCGUGCAGGAUGAAGGCCUUCGGGUUGUAAACUGCUUUUGUACGGAACGAAAGGGCUUUGGUGAAUAACUGGGGCAGAUGACGGUACCGUAAGAAUAAGCACCGGCUAACUACGUGCCAGCAGCCGCGGUAAUACGUAGGGUGCGAGCGUUAAUCGGAAUUACUGGGCGUAAAGCGUGCGCAGGCGGUCAUGCAAGACAGAUGUGAAAUCCCUGGGCUCAACCUGGGAACUGCAUAUGUGACUGUAUGGCUGGAGUACGGCAGAGGGGGAUGGAAUUCCGCGUGUACAGUGAAAUGCGUAGAUAUGCGGAGGAACACCGAUGGCGAAGCAAUCCCCUGGGCCUGUCUUGACGCU